AGGGGCUUGCUCCUGGCUGUCGAGUGGCGCACGGGUGAGUAAUGUAUAGCUUACGUGCCCCAUAGAGGGGGAUAACUACUAGAAAUGGUAGCUAAUACCCCAUACUCCUUAUAGUAGGGAUACUAUAAGGGAAAGGAGUAAUCCGCUAUGGGAUCGGGCUAUAUCGUAUCAGCUAGUUGGUGAGGUAAAGGCUCACCAAGGCGAUGACGCGUAGCUGGUCUGAGAGGAUGAUCAGCCACACUGGAACUGAGACACGGUCCAGACUCCUACGGGAGGCAGCAGUGGGGAAUAUUGCACAAUGGGGGAAACCCUGAUGCAGCAACGCCGCGUGGAGGAUGACGCAUUUCGGUGUGUAAACUCCUUUUAUAUGGG
rnacentral:rRNA from 1 species